rnacentral:rRNA from 1 species
UACGGAGGGUGCUAGCGUUGUUCGGAAUCACUGGGCGUAAAGCGCGUGUAGGCGGCCCGAUAAGUCCGCUGUGAAAGUCCAGGGCUCAACCCUGGAAUGCCGGUGGAUACUGUCGGGCUCGAGUCCGGAAGAGGCGAGUGGAAUUCCUGGUGUAGCGGUGAAAUGCGCAGAUAUCAGGAGGAACACCGAUGGCGAAGGCAGCUCGCUGGGACGGUACUGACGCUGAGACGCGAAAGCGUGGGGAGCGAACAGG